rnacentral:tRNA from 2 species
GCCCGGGUGGCGUAACCUGGUAGCCGCGUCAGUUCGAGGGGCUGAUGCCCGCAAGGGCGUGGGGGUUCAAAUCCCCCCCCGGGCACAA